CAGGCUUAACACAUGCAAGUCGAGGGGUAACAUUACAGCUUGCUGUAGAUGACGACCGGCGCACGGGUGCGUAACGCGUAUACAAUUUACCUUAUACUAGAGAAUAGCCUGAAGAAAUUCGGAUUAAUGCUCCAUAGUAUCUUAAAACGGCCUCGUUUAAAGAUUAAAGCUCCGGCGGUAUAAGAUGAGUAUGCGUCCUAUUAGUUAGUUGGUGAGGUAACGGCUCACCAAGGCGACGAUAGGUAGGGGUCCUGAGAGGGAGAUCCCCCACACUGGUACUGAGACACGGACCAGACUCCUACGGGAGGCAGCAGUGAGGAAUAUUGGGCAAUGGAGGCAACUCUGACCCAGCCAUGCCGCGUGAAGGAUGGCGGCCCUAUGGGUUGUAAACUUCUUUUAUAGAGGAAGAAACGCAGAUACGUGUAUUUGUUUGGCGGUACUCUACGAAUAAGGACCGGCUAACUCCGUGCCAGCAGCCGCGGUAAUACGGAGGGUCCAAGCGUUAUCCGGAAUCAUUGGGUUUAAAGGGUCCGUAGGCGGACAAUUAAGUCAGAGGUGAAAGCCCACAGCUCAACUGUGGAACUGCCUUUGAUACUGGUUGUCUUGAGUUAUAGUGAAAGUAAGAUAGAAUAUGUAGUGUAGCGGGUGAAAAUGCAUAGAUAUUUACAUAGAAUACCGAUUGCGAAGGGCAGUCUACUAACUAUAUACUGACGCUGAUGGACAAAAGCGUGGGGAGCGAACAGGAUUAGAUACCCUGGUAGUCCACGCCGUAAACGAUGGAUACUAGUUGUUAAGACUUACUUUUAGUAAGUUUAGUGACCAAGCGAAAGUGAUAAGUAUCCCACCUGGGGAGUACGGUCGCAAGAUUGAAACUCAAAGGAAUUGACGGGGGCCCGCACAAGCGGUGGAGCAUGUGGUUUAAUUCGAUGAUACGCGAGGAACCUUACCAGGGCUUAAAUGUAAGUUGCAUGAUUUAGAGAUAAAUCUUUCUUCGGACUACUUACAAGGUGCUGCAUGGUUGUCGUCAGCUCGUGCCGUGAGGUGU
rnacentral:rRNA from 1 species